UGCGCAGGCGGAAUGAUAAGUCAGUGGUGAAAUCCUACAGCUCAACUGUAGAACUGCCAUUGAUACUGUUGUUCUUGAGUACAGUUGUAGUGGGCGGAAUAUGUCAUGUAGCGGUGAAAUGCAUAGAUAUGACAUAGAACACCGAUCGCGAAGGCAGCUCACUAAGCUGAAACUGACGCUGAGGCACGAAAGCGUGGGGAGCAAACAGGAUUAGAUACCCUGGUAGUCC
rnacentral:rRNA from 1 species